AUGGCCCUGGAAGACUUCUAUGCAGUCCACAGAAACUACACCCCGAAGCUAGUUCUCCACAUCAGGGACUCCAAAAGUAACAAUGUCCAAGCUGCAUCAGCAGCCCUCGACCUGCUAGAGAAUUACAGCGUCCAAGUUAUCAUAGGUCCUCAAACAUCUUCACAAGCAGCAUUUGUAUCGGAUCUCGGGAAUAAAAGUCAGGUCCCUGUGAUCUCCUUCACAGCAACAAGCCCAUCUCUUUACUCUGGCAGUCUUCCAUAUUUUGUUCGUGCAACACUGAGUGACUCUACACAAGUGAAUAGCAUUGCCUCCCUAAUCAAGGCCUAUGGGUGGAGACAGGUGGUGCCAAUUUAUGAAGAAACUGACUAUGGUAGAGGUGUCAUACCAUAUCUCAUUGACGCCCUCCAAGAAAUUGAUGUCCGUGUUCCCUACCGGAGUGUGAUCCCCCUGUCAGCAACUACUGAACAAAUUACCAAAGAACUCUAUAAGUUAUUGACAAUGCAAACAAGGGUCUUCUUGGUGCAUAUGUCACCUGAUUUGGCUUCGAUCCUCUUCACAAUGGCAAAAGAGGUUGGUAUGAUGAAGAAAGGAUUUGUAUGGAUCAUGACAGAUGGGCUAACCAAUGUCAUAGACUCCACGAACCCUUCUGUUAUGGAAGCAAUGAAUGGUGUUUUAGGAGUAAAGUUUUAUACUCCUAAAUCAGCAGAACUGGAUAACUACACCAUACGCUGGAUGAGAUUACAGAUUGAUAACCCAAAUGAUCCACCACUGAAACUAAGCAUAUUUGAACUCUGGGGCUAUGAUACUAUAUGGGCGGUAGCGCAAGCAGUUGAAAAGCUUGGUAUUAAGAACAAAACAUCAUUUCAAAAACCAGCAGUUGCAAGAAACAUGACAAGCAUGGGAACUUCUGUUUAUGGCCCGGAUCUCCUAAAGACCAUCUUGCAAUACAAAUUUAGAGGUUUGAGUGGUCAUUUUGACCUUUCAGGUAGGCAGCUGCAAGCUUCUACAUUUCAGAUAAUAAAUGUAGUUGAUAAAGGGUGGAAAGAAAUUGGGUUUUGGACUGCAGAAAAUGGAAUUUCCCGGCGACUAUAUCACGGAGAAUCAACGACACGGCAUUCAGGCUUAGCUUCUGACCUAAACCCGGUAAUUUGGCCAGGAAAAUCAACAGAGAUACCCAAAGGGUGGGAAGCUCCUGUGAAUGGGAAGAAGCUUCGAGUAGGAGUGCACACAAGUGUAUACCCACAAUUUAUGACAAGUGGAAAAGAUCCUAUUACUGGGGCCACUACAGCAAGUGGCCUUUCCAUUGAUGUAUUCGAAGAGGCAAUUAAAAGACUUCCCUAUGCACUGCCCUAUGAGUAUGUAGCAUUUGGCACUACGAAUGACACAAGCAGUGGAGGUUAUGAUGAUUUUGUUUACCAAGUUUACCUUAAGAAAUAUGAUGUAGCCAUUGGGGACAUAACAAUCUCACAUAACAGAACUUCCUACGUCGACUUCACUCUACCAUACACAGAAUCAGGAGUGGCAAUGGUUGUUCCAGCCAAGAGCAGCAGAACUAACAACAUAUGGAUUUUCGUUGAGCCAUUAUCACGUGACCUGUGGCUCGGAAGCAUCAUAUUACUAUUCUACACAUGGGUUGUUCUCUGGCUAAUGGAGUUCCUGGAAAACAGCACAAAUAUUGCUGGACAAGUCCCCAAACAGCUCGGGAUUAUGACUUCCUUUUCCCUAUUUGGAGACAAGAACGGAGUGGAAAGUUUACGAUCUCGGAUAGUUUUGAUUGUAUGGGUGUUUUUCUUCCUUGUACUGUCAGCAAGCUACACCGCAAAUUUGGCAACAAUGCUUACCAUAAGACAGCUAAAUCCAACUAUAACUGAUAUCCAUGACCUCCGUAAAAGUGGGGACUAUGUAGGAUGCACUAGUGGUUCCUAUGUCGAGAGUCUACUGGAACAACUCAAUUUUGACAGAUUGAAGAUCAAGACCUAUAGUACCUACGAUGGAUUUUACAGUGCACUCUCGAAGGGAAGCAAAAGUGGGGGAAUUGCUGCGUUCAUUCAUGAAGUCCCAUACAUCAGACUGUUUCUUGCAAAGAACUGCAAAGGGUACACUAUGGUUCCGUUUUAUAAGGCAGCAGGUUUUGGAUAUGCAUUUCCAAAAGGAUCUCCUCUAGUUGGGGACAUCUCAAAGGCAAUCCUGGGCAUAAUAGGAGGAGACACUAUCAAUCGAAUUGAGAAGAAAUGGAUCGGAAUAGGAUAUGAAAACAACUGCAACAAUGCGGGACGUGCACCUGAUCCAGACAAACUCACAUUUGGCAGUUUUUUUGGACUUUUCAUACUUAGUGGAGCUGUCUCGACUUCUUGUCUUCUGAUAGCUCUGAUGACUAAAUUUUAUCACCGAAAUAGAGAUCAGGCAGAAGGAAAUCAAGGAGGUAAUGACGCUGGACAAGAGAUACAAAAUAUGGAUCCACAAAUAAAUUACCCUAGGCCCAAUGGUAUAGAUCCACAAAUAAAUUACCCUAGGCCCAAUGGUUCACCUGUCAGGGGUCGAAGAACUCGUAGCGCAUGA
rnacentral:rRNA from 1 species